rnacentral:rRNA from 1 species
UACAGAGACCUCAAGCGUUAUCCGGAUUUAUUGGGCGUAAAGCGUGUGUAGGCGGUCUGAUUAGUCAGAUGUCAAAGACUGGGGCUCAACCCCAGGAAGGCAUUUGAAACGGUCAGACUAGAGAAUGUGAGAGAUUGCUGGAAUUCAUGGUGUAGUAGUGAAAUGCGUUGAUAUCAUGAGGAACACUCAAGGCGAAGGCAAGCAAUUGGCACAUUUCUGACGCUGAGACACGAAAGCGUGGGGAGCGAAUGGG